CUCAGCAGUCGUUGCGCAGGCACUUUGGUGACGCAUUCGGAUGUCUGCCCUAUCAACUUUCGAAGGUACUUUCUGCGCUUCCAUGGUGACCACAGGUAACAGGGAAUCAGGAUUCGAUUCUGGAG